GAAAGAUGCAGAGAAAUUAGUUCAUGCGUUUGUCUUUAGUCGACUAGAUUACUGUAAUGCACUCCUCUCAGGACUACCCAAAAAAGACAUCAAUCGUUUGCAGUUAGUGCAGAAUGCAGCUGCUAGAAUCCUUACCAGGAAAAGAAAAUCCGAACACAUUUCUCCAGUUUUGAUGUCACUACACUGGUUACCUGUGUCAUUCAGAAUUGACUUUAAAAUUCUGCUUAUGGUUUAUAAAGCUUUAAAUAAUCUCGCCCCGUCUUAUAUAUCGGAAUGUCUGACACCUUAUAUUCCAAAUCGCAACCUCAGAUCCUCAACUGAGUGUCUCCUUAGAAUUCCAAGAGCAAAACUUAAAAGAAGUGGUGAGGCGGCCUUCUGCUGUUAUGCACCUAAAAUCUGGAAUAGCCUGCCAGUAGGAAUUCGCCAGGCUAAUACAGUGGAGCACUUUAAAAAACUACUAAAAACACAUUACUUUAACAUGGCCUUCUCAUAACUUCACUGUAAUUUAAUCCUGACACUCUGUAUAUCCAAUUCAUUAUAAUAACUAUUCAUUCAAAAUUUGUACUAACCCCUACUCUCUCUUCUGUUUCCUUUUCCGGUGUCCUAUUGGUGGUGGCUUGUGCCACCACCAUCUACCCAAAGCACCAUGAUGUUCCAACAAUGAUGGAUGGAUUAAAAGCCAGAAGUCUUCUGCAUGACCAUCAUCAUCAAGCUCUUCUGUGAGAACCCUAAAUACAAAGAGGACUGUUUCAUUUAUGUGAGGUAGAAUGCCCAGAGGGGACUGGGCGGUCUCAUGGUCUGGAACCCCUGCAGAUUUUAUUUUUUCUCCAGCCGUCUGGAGU